AUGCAGCUCUUGUUCUUGUCCCACCUGCUAGGAGUAGGGCUGCUGCUGAGCCAGUUUCCUAGCGAGACCAUAGCGGGCUCGAAGCAUUUGCUGCCUAAGUGGGUAUGUAAACACCCACUUGUUGAUGCCGUUCAGAAGUUCUGUGAGAAAUUAGGGAGAAGAAACUCCAGUGUCCAGGAGGAGCUUGCAAUUGCAAAUGGCCCACCAUCAGAAUUCCUGCAGUCCUCUUUCCACACAGAUGCAGAAGCCUUAAAUAUUUUGGUGGGAUUCAUUCCUGAUUUGCCACAGGAGAUGAAGGUAACACUUUCUGAUGGGCAGUCAUCGUUGAGGAAACAACAGGAUUCAGGGGACCUAAACACUCUUAUUACUUCAUUUAGUAUAAAGUGUUGUAAAAAAAAAUGUGUGCAUAAACUUCGAAAGAAAUUUUGUAAAUUACCAGAGUAAUUAUUGAUUUGUAAUCUUCAUUUGUAAUCUCAAUUAUCCCUUCACUGAUAUCCAGAUUAAUCAUCACUGAUUAUUAGAAACGUGAACCAUUGUUCCUAGUGUUUGCAUUUAUAUUUUUCUGUAAGAAAGAGUCUUCCCAGGGCUGUAAUUUGUGUCAACAGAU
rnacentral:lncRNA from 10 species